GGGUGUCGCUGUCGCAGAUGCAGGCAGCUUUCUUUGUAUAUCUGAGAGGAUUCUCCAACAUCUGUUGGAGUCUGAACAUACCCGCGACCGCCGCCUUAUUCUUCUGGUUUUUCAAGUUUGUGAAGGCGCCCGCUUCCGAAUCUGGUCGGUUGGGGCUAGCAAAGCGGUUCAGCGGACGAGAGCUGAUAAUUGAACUCCCCACUAACUAUGGGCCCCAGUGGAAGAGUGAGUUCUUUUUUGUUGAAUCUAC
rnacentral:lncRNA from 1 species